ACUUUCAACAACGGAUCUCUUGGUUCUGGCAUCGAUGAAGACGCAGCAAAUGCGAUAAGUAAUGUGAAUUGCAGAUUCAGUGAAUCAUCGAAUCUUUGAACGCACAUUGCGCCGCCAGUAUUCUGGCGGCAUGCUGUUCGAGCGUCAUUUCAACCUCAAGCCGCUUGGUGUUGGAGCUGCAGUCCUGCUGCACUCCCAAAUACAUUGGCGGUCACGUCGAGCUUCAUAGCGUAGUAAUUUACAUAUCGUUACUGGUAAUCGUCGCGGCCACGCGUUAACCCAACUUCUGAAUGUUGACCUCGGAUCAGUAGGAAUACCGCUGAACUUAGCAUAUCAAUAGCGGAGAAAGAACAACAGGAUUGCCUAGUAACGGCGAGUGAGCGGCAACAGCUCAAUUUGAAAUCUGGCUUUCGGGCCGAGUUGUAUUUGUAGAGGAUGAUUUUGAUGCGGUGCUUCCGAGUUCCUGGAACGGGACGCCAUAGAGGGUGAGAGCCCGUCUGUUGGAUGCCAAUCUCUGUAAAUCUCUUCGACGAGUCGAGUAGUUUGGAUGCUGCUCUAAUGGAGGUAUAUGUCUUCUAAGCUAAUACGGCAGAGACCGAUAGCGCACAAGUAGAGUGAUCGAAAGAUGAAAGCACUUUGAAAGAGAGUUAAAAGUACGUGAAAUUGUUGAAGGGAAGCGUUUAUGACAGACUUGGGCUUGGUUAAUCAUCUGGGUUCUCUCAGUGCACUUUCCAGCCAGGCAGCAUCAGUUUCGCCGGGGAUAAGACUUCGGGAUGUGGUCCCUCGGGAGUGUUAUAGCCGUUGUGUAAUACCUGGUGGGGAUGAGGUUCGCGCUUCUGCAAGGAUGCUGGCGUAAUGGUCAUCAACGACCGUCUUGAACACGGACAAGGAGUCGUCUUCGUAUGCGAGUGUUCGGGUGUCAACCCUACGCGUAAUGAAGUGACGCAGGUGAGAGCUUCGGCGCAUCAUCGACGAUCCUGAUGUUCUCGGAUGGAUUUGAGUAAGAGCAUACGGGCGGACCGAAGAAGGUGAACUAUGCUGUGUAGGGUGAAGCAGAGAACUCUGGUGGAGGCUCGCAGCGGUUCUGACGUGCAAUCGAUCGUCAACAUGGCAUGGGGCGAAGACUAUCGACUUCUAGUAGCUGGUUUCGCCGAAGUUUCCUCAGGAUAGCAGUGUUGAACUCAGUUUUAUGAGGUAAGCGAAUGAUUAGGGAUCGGGGCGCUAUUUAGCCUUCAUCCAUUCUCAACUUUAAUAUGUAGAAGCUCUUGUUGCUUAUUGAACGUGAGCAUUCGAAUGUAUCAACACUAGUGGGCCAUUUUGGUAAGCAGAACUGGCGAUGCGGGAUGAACCGAACGCGAGGUUAAGGUGCAGAGUAGACGCUCAUCAGACACAAAAGGUGUUAGUACAUCUUGACAGCAGGACGGUGGCCAUGGAAGUCGGAAUCCGCUAAGGACUGUGUAACAACUCACUGCGAAUGUACUAGCCUGAAAAUGGAUGGCGCUCAAGCGUCUCACCAUACCUCGCCUCAGGUAGAACGAAGCCUGAGAGUAGGCGGACGUGGAGGUCAGUGACGAAGCUAGGCGUGAGCCGGUUGAACGGCUCUAGUGCAGAUCUUGGUGUAGUAGCAAUACUUCAAUGAGACUUGAAGACCGAAGUGGGAAAGGUUCCAUGUGAACAGCGGUUGGACAUGGUUAGUCGAUCUAAGCUAUAGGAAGUUCCGUUUCAAAGGCGCACUUUGCGCGUCUAGCGAAAGGGAGCGGUCAUAUUCCGGCACCUGGAUGUGGGUUUGCGCGGCAACGCAACUGAACGUGGAGACGACGGCGGGGCCCAAGCAGAGUUCUCUUUCUUCUUAACAGUCUCUCACCUGAAAUCGGUUGUCCGGAGCUAGGGUUUAAUGGCUGGAAGAGCCGGCACUCUGCCGGUUUGGUGCGCUCUCGACGUCCUUGAAAUCACGGAAGAAUAAUUCUCACGCCAGGUCGUACUCAUACCGCAGCAGUCUCAAGGUGAACAGCUCUGGUUGAUAGAACAAUGUAGAUAAGGAAGUCGGCAAAUAGAUCCGUAACUUCGGAAAGGAUUGGCUCUAAGGUUGGGCACGUUGGCUUGGCGGACGUCCUGGAGCAGGCCGCCACUAGUCGGGCAACCGACGGAGGCGGCAGCAUCCGGUGCUGAUGCCUUGGCAGCUUCGGCCGUCCGGCGUGCGGUUAACAACCAACUUAGAACUGGUACGGACAAGGGAAUCUGACUGUCUAAUUAAACAUAGCAUUGCGAUGGCCAGAAGUGGUGUUGACGCAAUGUGAUUUCUGCCAGUGCUCUGAAUGUCAAGUGAAGUAAUUCAACAAGCGCGGGUAACGGCGGAGUAACUAUGACUCUUAAGGUAGCCAAAUGCUCGUCAUCUAAUUAGUGACGCGCAUGAAUGGAUUAACGAGAUUCCACUGUCCUAUUACUAUCUAGCGAACACAGCCAAGGAACGGGCUUGCAGAUCAGCGGGAAAGAAGACCUGUUGAGCUUGACUCUAGUUUGACAUUGUGAAAGACAUAGGAGUGUAGAUAGGUGGAGCUUCGGCGCCGGUGAAAUACACUAUCCUAUUGUUUUUUACUUAUUCAAUGAAGCGGGCUGGAUUUACGUCCAACUUCUGGUUUAAGGUCCUUCGCGGGCCGACCCGGGUUGAAGACAUUGUCAGGUGGGAGUUUGGCUGGGGCGGCACAUCUGUUAAACCAUAACGCAGGUGUCUAAGGGGGCUCAUGGAGAACAGAAAUCUCCAGUAGAACAAAGGUAAAGUCCCUUGAUUUUGAUUUUCAGUGUGAAUACAACAUGAAAGUGUGGCCUAUCGAUCCUUUAGUCCUCGACAUUUGAGGCUAGAGGUGCCAGAAAAGUUACCACAGGAUAACUGCUUGUGGCGGCAAGCGUUCAUAGCGACGUCGCUUUUUGAUCCUUCGAUGUCGGCUCUUCUAUCAUACCGAAGCAGAAUUCGGUAAGCGUUGGAUUGUUCACCCACUAAUAGGGAACGUGAGCUGGGUUUAGACCGUCGUGAGACAGGUUAGUUUACCCUACUGAUGACCUCACCGCAAUGGUAAUUCAGCUUAGUACGAGAGGAACCGCUGAUUCAGAUAAUGGUUUUUGCGGCUGUCCGACCGGCAGUGCGCGAAGCUACCAUCUGCUGGAUAUGGCUGAACGCCUCUAAGUCAGAAUCCAUGCCAGAACGCGGUGAUACACCGCACGUAUAGAUGGACAGAAUAGGCUCGGCUUAGCGUCUUAGCAGGCGAUUCCUCACGGCGCUCGAAGCGCGUCGUGGUAUUUCGCGUAUUGU
rnacentral:rRNA from 1 species